AAAGAGAUAAAUCCUAGAUUUCUGUGUCCAACAUUUAACCGUCCGUCUUAUUUGAAAAAGUUAUGAAAAAAAUUAAAAAGACAAGUCACGGAUAAAAUAUUAAUCAUAUUUUAUUAUCUAACAACAAUGAAAAUAAUAAUUAUAAAAAAAUUUUAUAUAAAACGGAUCGUCAAACGUUGGACACGAAAACGUAGAGUUUGUCUUUUU
rfam:Oryza sativa (indica cultivar-group) chromosome 2, whole genome shotgun sequence.